rnacentral:lncRNA from 10 species
CCCAGUAUGGGCGGGACUGGAGGAAGCCACCAACCAACGAAGUACUGGGCCUGUGGGUAUUCGUCUCUCUCCCCGCCCCUGAGAGUCUGGGAAAGGCUGACACGUGGUGCCUUCAGGCUCUGGGGCCUAGGACCUUUGUGGUAGCAGAGUCACUGCAGAGAACCAGACAAUACCAGGUUGCUUAUAAAAGGAUGCCAUGUGCUUGCUGGAGGUCCCAGGUGCAACCAAAUUGCUUGCAGCUAGGAGGACCUUGAAGAGAAAUGGGAUCAGCCCGCCAAACCAAGAAGGGUUAGCACUUUUGCUAGGAGAGCUGACCACGCACAAACAGAUGAGAACCAAAACCGAGUGAAGAGGAUUGAAGAUGAACCCACAUUUUAAAAGUUCUUGUCUGCUGGAGGUGGCAUUACCUGUGACCUCGCUUCACUUCUCCAUACAUGGCUGUUAUAGCAGAAAAUCCAGCUUUCUGAAGCAUAUUUCACGACAUAUGAUGAGACUUAUGUGAUGUGAGACCUGAGAAAACUAUGAUAGAAAGAAGCAACUCAAGUUGCAAGGAUAUUCCUCAUGUAUCAUGCAAGGAUAUUCCUCAUAUAUCAUAGACUAAGGUGUCAGUAUGUUCUUCAAGCUGCUCUGCUCCUGGGCCCAAGCUAUUCUCCUGCCUCAGCCUUCCAAGAAGCUGAAACUACAAGAACACAAGACUGUACCUGGCUUGCAAACACCAUUGCUAAUAAGAAGAUAUUACAUGGAUCCCUGAGGUCGGUCCCCAAUACGACAAGACAAUUUGAUAUCAUAAUAGAACACUGCAGAAACAAUGCUGAGUGAAGAAGAGUAGAAAUGGGAAGACUUGGUUGAGCGGAAACUGAGUUCUUGAAAAGAGGAGAUGCUUGAUGAGGGCAUGGAUCCCUGAGGUCUGCCCCAGUACUAUAAGACAAUUUGAUGUAAGAAAACACAGCAGAUAUAAUACUGAGUGAAGAAGAGUAUAAAUGAGAAGAUUGGUUGUGCAGAUACUGAGUUCAUGAAAAGAGGAGAUGAUUGAUGAGGCCAGGUGCGGUGACUCAUGCCUGUAAUCCCUGCACUUUGGGAGGCUGCGGCGGGCGGAUCACCUGAGGUCAGGAGUUCGAGACCAGCCUGGGAGACAGAGCAUGGAAACCUAAGGUCUGUACCCAAAACUACAGGACUAUUUGACAUCAUAAUAAAACACUGCAGAUAUGAUGCUGAGUAAGAGUAGAAAUGGGAAGACUUGGUUGUGCAGUAACUGAGUUCUUGAAAAGAGGAGAUGCUUGAUGAGGGCAUGGAUCACUAAGGUCUGUUCCCAAUACAAGAAGACUCUUUGACAUCAUAAUAAAAUACUGCAGAUACGAUGCUGAGUGAAAAAGAGUAGAAAUGGGAAGACUUGGUUGUGCAGAAACUGAGUUCUUAAAGAGAGGAGAUACUUUAUGAGGAUGGGAUCAUCUAGUUGCAGGAAAACAAGGCUCAGGGUGCCUACUGAUUCUACAUUAUGUUGCAGGGCUUUGACUCCUGGGUACAUGUAUCUCAUCUGAAAGGGAAUCCUGACGCCUACUGAAUCUUAAUAGUCAAUAUUGAUAUCUGGCAUCAAAUUCAAGUUGACCAAAGUUCCAUCUUCAGACCUGGGAGAAGAUGACAGUCAAAAUGAACUGCUUUCAUGUGACACUGGACCAGGCCUAUAUACAAAGGCAUAAGUAAUCAUUGAAUAAUGUUUCAUCUAUCUAUCUUAAUAUAAUUUGUUCUAUGCCUUACUAGAUAAAUGUUUAGUUACCUGUGAGUUUUCUUUUCCUGCCAUUGUCAGAGCUAGGCAGGGCUUAAGUCCCUUUCGUUUAAACAUUACUAACUCUAUACAUAGCUUGCAAAAUUGGAUAAAACAACAAAGGUUACUUUUUCACUCUCUCUCUGCUUAAUAUCUCUGAAAUUUAAAACUAUUCAGAAUCCCACUGGGCCCGAUCUAUUUUCAAUGCUAAUGCUCCACUGCUAAAACUAUAUAAGCAUCUUCCCUCUAGGCUCAGGCACUAUCUUGGAAGAGGUAAAUGUGUAAGAUUGUAAAGGUUGAUUUUUGAGCAACAAAAUUAAUUUAGAUCUUCCAAAUAAAAAAUGGGCACACAGAUGCCCAAACAGUUGGCAAAAUAAGAUACUUUACCUCCUGGACCAGUAUGUGGACCUUUUUCAUCCAUCCCAACCAUAAUUUCCUCUUUCCUGUAGAAUUAAAAGAAAAUUGCAAAGAGGAUAUGAACUUUUCUGGUAAGAAAACCUCCUGGGUAUAGUGCUCCCAGUUAUGAGAUUUAUGCAGAUUGUUAUAUAAAGUUUUUUUAAAUCAAGCACCUUAGGACAAACUAUUAAAAAGACUGCUAAAAGCGUUGUGACACAACAAAAGUCUCUAAAUUCUGUAGCUUAAAAAGUUUUAACAAAGUACUUAUCUUUUGCAAGCUAAUUGCUACAAGUCUAUAACUAAAACAUGUAUUGACUGAUGUCUUAGGUCUCCCUAAAAUAUAUAAAACCAAGUUGUAAACCAAUCACCUUGGACACAUGUUCUCAGGACCUCUGGAGACUGUGCCUUGGGCCAUGGUCACUCAUAUUUGGCUGAGAAUAAAAUUUUAAAAAUAUUUUACAGAGUUGGGUUUUUCUUGUUGGCUUUUUCAUAAAAUGUAAAAUGUUUGAGAAAGACACUUCUCAAGUGGCCAAGUGAGGAUAUUCUAGCUUAAUGCGUAGAAUUUAUAGCUAAGUCAAUUUUGUAACCUUGCCUUUUGACUUUUGGUUCUUGAUGCUUACAUUACAAAAUUUUAAGGUUUGAUAAAUGCCUGCUCCACUUCCAUUCCCAUCUGGCCUAGGAUAUUUAAAUUGGCUAUAAGUCUUUUGGCUCUACAUCUGUUGGCCGUGAGUCCCCACCAAGGGAUAGGAUAGACCCAGGGCACAUAGCCACACCACCCCAGCAAUGGUAUGCAACAAAAUGAUAGUUUGGCCAUUGAUGUUGCCUCUGGGAAAUUUUUUUUUUUUUUUUGACGAAGUCUUGCUCUGUUGCCCAAGCUGGAGUGCAGUGGUGUGUUCUAGGCUGACUGCAACCUUUGCUUCCUGGGUUCAAGUGAUUCUCUUGCUUCAGCCUCCCAAAUGGCUGGUAUUACAGACGUGCACCACCACACCUGGCUAAUUUUUUUUUUUUUUUUUUGAGACAGAGUCUCACUCUGUCAUUCAGGCUGGAGUGCAGUGGCACAAUCUCGGUUCACUGCAACCUCCAUUUCCCGGGUUCAAGUGAUUCUCCUGCCUCAGCCUCCUGAGUAGCUGGGAUUAUAGGCAUGCACCACCAGGCCCAGCUAAUUUUUGUAUUUUUUUGUAGAGAUGGGGUUUCGCCAUGUUAGUCAGGCUAGUCUCGAACUCCUGACCUCGUGAUCCACCUGCCUCGGCCUCCCAAAGUGAUGGGAUUAUAGGCGUGAGCCACUGUGCCUGGCCUAAUUUUAGUAUUUUUAGUAGAGAUGGGGUUUCGCAAUGUUGGCCAGGCUAGUCUCGAACUCCUGACUUCAGGUGAUCUGCCUGCCUUGGCCUCCCAAAGUGCUGGGAUUACAGGUGUGAGCCACCACGCUUGGCCUCCUCUGCUCAAUCCUGACCAGAAAAAUCAAAUUCUAACUCCCCCAAUCAACUGAAUUCCCCUCCAUUCAUCUGCCAAGGGGAUUCUAAAGAAUCCUGAAAACUAGUUCAGGCCAUGACAAUUGACAUUAAAACAGAUCUUAAAACUGACAAAACAGAUUCUUUGUAGCAAUAAGAUACCAAAUUUCAACCUGACUCAGGUAUAACUUCACAUGAUAAAAAAGGAAAUAAAAAUAUUUUACCCCCAAAAUAGAUUUCUUUGACAUAUUUUGAAAUGGCCCUGCAAGGCAGUUGGGGAAAUUUUGCAUCUGUAAAGCAUCUCCUUAACAUAACUAGAUCUUUCCCCUUCCAGGCCCUCCUAAACCUGAAGAGAUUAACUGAGAUUCUAGCACCUUUUAAAGUCUACAUAGGAAACAUUCACCAUUUAUUAUCUCUAAGGGCAGCCACUUAUGAGACUUCAUCUAUGUAAUAAAAACCUUGGUCUCCACAACCCCUUAUGUUAACCCAGACACUCCUUUCUAUUGAUUCCAGGUCUUUAGAAAAUAACUUAACUCCUCCAAGCAAUUGCCAAACAGAAAACCUUGGCAUCUUCCUAUGACCUGUAAGCACCCACUUUCCCCUGCUUUAAGUUGUCCUACCCUUCUGCACCAAACCAAUGUAUACCUCACAUGUAUUGAUUGAUGUCUUCUGUCUCUCUAAAACAUAGAAAAGAAAGCUGUAACCCAACCACCUUGGUCAGGACGUCUUGAGACUGUGCCUUGCGCCAUGGUCAGUCGUAUUUUGUGCAGAAUAAACAUUUUUCAAUAUUUUACAGAGUUUGGCUUUUUUGUUGACUUUUUUCAUAAAACAUGAAAGAUUAUGUUUGAGAAAGGCGUUUCUCAAGUGACCAUGUGAAGAUGUUGGGAAAUCCUCUCGCCAAAGAACAACUAUGAAAUGGACAAAACCAACCAUUUCUGUGCUCUGGAAAUUAAAUGUGCACAACAAUGUUAAACUUUGGGCAAGAAAGUUUGAACUCUGAUACGGUUUUGAUUUGUGUCACUGCUGAAAUCUCUUGUGCAAUUGUGACCCUCAGUGUUGGAGGAGGGGCCUGGUGGGAAGUGAUUGGAUCAUGGGGGUGGAUUUCCCCCUUGCUGUUCUCAUGUAGUGAGUGAGUUCUCGUGAGAUCUGGUUGUUUAAAAGUGUGUAGCAUCUCCCCCUGCUCUCUUCCUCCUUCUCUGGCCAUGUAAAACCUGCCUGCUUCCCCUUUGCCUUCUACCAUGAUUGUAAGUUUCCUGAGGCCUCCACAGCCAUGCUUCCUGUACAGACUGUGGAAGUGUAAGUCAAUUAAACGUCUUUAGUCUUUAAACCUAUAAAUAUCUUUGUAACAACUUCCUUAGCUACAAUCUAUAAGUUAUUUAUAGAUUACACAGUCUCAGGUAGUUCUUAAUAGCAAUGCAAAAAUGCACUAAUACAAACCCUGUUUUGGUCUGGCCUGUGGCUGCUUCCGUAUUUCUCUUUCCUAGGUCCAUCUAUAGGGACAUUCUGCCAAGGUGAAAUAAAGACUGAUAAAAUUCCUUACUAGCAAACUUGUAUUACAAGAAAUAACUAAAAACAGUCCUUCAGUCUAAAAGGAAAUGACUCUAUAUGGUGACUUGAAUCCACAAGAAUAAAUGAAGGGCACAGGAAAUGGUAAAUAGCUGGGUUAAUAUAAAAAAGACUCUAUGUAUUGUUUUUUCAUUUUUUCUAUAUUAUCUAAAUGACCUAAGAUUAUGUGAAGUAAUAAUUAUUACAUUGUACUGUUGGUUUUAAAAUAUAUAACUGUAAUUUAUAUGAUAACAGACCAAUGUUGGAGGGGUUUGGAAAUAAAUAUGAGCAAAGUUUCUAUGUUUUACUUGAAGUAAGUUAGUAUUAAGCUGAUGUAUAUUCUGAUAGGUUAAAAUGUAUAUUGUAACCCUUAGAACAACUAUUAAAAUAAAUCAAAAGC